UACGUAGGGGGCAAGCGUUGUCCGGAAUCAUUGGGCGUAAAGAGCGUGUAGGCGGUUCGAUAAGUCUGCUGUGAAAGUCCAGGGCUCAACCCUGGGAUGCCGGUGGAUACUGUCGGGCUAGAGUACGGAAGAGGCGAGUGGAAUUCCCGGUGUAGCGGUGAAAUGCGCAGAUAUCAGGAGGAACACCGAUUGCGAAGGCAGCUCGCUGGAACGUUACUGACGCUGAGACGCGAAAGCGUGGGGAGCAAACAGG
rnacentral:rRNA from 1 species